GAUGAACGCUGGCUACAGGCUUAACACAUGCAAGUCGAGGGGAAACGACGGGGAAGCUUGCUUCCCCGGGCGUCGACCGGCGCACGGGUGAGUAACGCGUAUCCAACCUGCCUCUGACUGAGGGAUAACCCGUCGAAAGUCGGCCUAAUACCUCAUGGCAUCGUCUGCGGGCAUCCAACGACGAUUAAAGAUUUCAUCGGUCAGGGAUGGGGAUGCGUCUGAUUAGCUUGUUGGCGGGGUAACGGCCCACCGAGGCUACGAUCAGUAGGGGUUCUGAGAGGAAGGUCCCCCACAUUGGAACUGAGACACGGUCCAAACUCCUACGGGAGGCAGCAGUGAGGAAUAUUGGUCAAUGGGCGGGAGCCUGAACCAGCCAAGUAGCGUGCAGGAUGACGGCCCUAUGGGUUGUAAACUGCCUUUAUGCGGGGAUAAAGUGAGGGACGUGUCCUUCAUUGCAGGUACCGCAUGAAUAAGGACCGGCUAAUUCCGUG
rnacentral:rRNA from 1 species